GCUUGUCUCAAAGUUAAGCCAUGCACGUGUAAGUAUAAAAUAACCUAUACUAUUGAAACUGCGAAUGGCUCAUUAUAUCAGUUAUAGUUUACAUGAUAAUAAUUUUCUACUUGGAUACCCGUAGUAAUUCUAGAGCUAAUACAUGCACCCGUGCCCGACUUUGUGGAAGGGUUGUGUUUAUUAGUUACAGAACCAGCCCAGGCUCUGCCUGGUCUUGUGGUGAUUCAUAAUAACCGAACGAAUCGUAUGGCAUCAGCUGGCGAUGAAUCAUUCAAGUUUCUGACCUAUCAGCUUCCGACGGUAGGGUAUUGGCCUACCGUGGCAAUGACGGGUAACGGAGAAUUAGGGUUCGAUUCCGGAGAGGGAGCCUGAGAAACGGCUACCACAUCUAAGGAAGGCAGCAGG
rnacentral:rRNA from 1 species